rfam:Populus trichocarpa isolate Nisqually-1 chromosome 18, whole genome shotgun sequence.
UAAUUUGUUUGGAGCUAAUUUUUAUCUAGUUCAGGCAAACUUAUAUCUGACUAUUUAUAAUCAAUCAUUAUCACAAAUCCAAUUACAUCACACACACACACACUUCCUCUUCUUAUAUAUCACUCACCCGACACUACAAGAUUUAACAGUUUUAUCGACGG